UAUAUACAUUGUCGCGUUACGUACUCUUCCAAAGGAUUUGGAAGAGUAGGUAAUCGAGCAGUGUGAAGAGUGAAUAGGAUGUGAAAAUGUGAAGAGGGAAAACAAUACAAUCAGGGGUAGGUCACUUUAUUUUCCAGCGGACAAUGGUCAAUAUGGCACUUAAUAGUGUUAAUUCAACAAAAGGUUAAGUUAGAAAUCGUUGAGGAAGGGAGGUCGCAGAGUGCUCCGGCUGCGCGCGCGUAAUGAAGAGGCGCGCCCGCUGUCUGCACGUUACUACACGUAUAGUAGGCGUACCAGCUGAGCGCACGAAAGGCCGGAGCACUAGCUACGUGCGCAUGAAGGAGUAGACGCUCCAGCUGCACGCACGAAGGCGGCGCGCUAGCUGAGCGUACGUGUUGAAAAAGGCGCACCAGCUGGACGUGCGAGUAGUAGUAGGCAGCGUACAAGCAGGUUUAUUUAAAUCGGCGAACAAAUAGGUAAAGAAAAAGCGUGGGUUUCUUGAUGAUGCGGGGCCUGCCUUGGCUCCGCACGGACCCUCAAUAUAGUUUUGCUAUUUUGGCAGCUGACUAUAAACUAACUUAAGAUGGCCGCUAACUUGCUUAAAUACUAUUGCUUAGGAAUAACGAUUACAAAAUUUAUAGUUACAGACCAGUCAUUCAUAUAUCGCUAAAUUUAAAACAUCCUAUUCCGAAAGUACACAGAUUAAUCUCUUUGGUAGUAAAUUUAGAAAAUCUGAAGGCAACCUGACGGAUUACGUCAAUCACGUAAACAGUUAUGUCAAACAAUUAGGAAUGUGUAAAUUAAGAUUAAUUCAGCUACAAUACUAACUAAUAAUUCAAUAAAAUAAAAGGAAAAACAGUGAGGUGCAGAUUAAAGAUAAAGUAAAGUCAAUAGAUUUCGCCCAGUGGCCAACUAUCGGGCUAUCAUGUGCCCCUGCGACCGCGCUCAAGAGUCCGUUGGCGCUGCCGCGCGAACCGCGCAUCAGGGACGCGACGCGUUUGCGCAUAAUGACAUGGAAAUCGUCCGUGUGUGCCUCUGCGAACAUCCCCGAUGCACUGCAGUACCGCGAUAGCCCCAUCAGCAUCCUGUACGCGUUAUUGUAGAAGACACACAGCGCGCUACGUGCUUUCUUCGUGCAGUUGAACCACAGCCUAAGUGUAAAAAUAUUGGCAGUACGAUCUGAACAAGGUUAACUUCACAGUCUUCACACUUGUUGCGCAUUUCUCAAAACUGCAAAUCAACAUGUCUCAUCUCACUCGCACUGACUCAUCCUCACUGAUAACGCCCUGCGCUCCCUCUCCACGUCCGAUAUUGGCCCCAGGUACUUAAACUGUGUUACUAAUUUCAACUGAAUGGCCCCUAAAAUGAUGUGGUACAAUGCUGUGUGUUCAAAUACAUUAAAUGCAAUGGUUUUUGCCAUGCCGAGUCUUCAGUAUACAUUGCGCAAGGCUCGAUCUUCCCCUAAGAACAAAUUAAGCUCUUUCUGAUGGUUACUACAUGGAAAUCAUACCUAACAUAGCUGUUUCCUUACAUCAAAUGAGGUAGUUCUGUUUUAUAUACAUUGGUAGUGAUGAAAUAGUAAUGACAAAACCAAGUUUUCCACCUCGAAAGCCCUUCGGAUCAUUGUGUGUAUAAUGUACAGUACAGCGAGGGAAAUUGUUAUAACUCGUAUCUCUUGGAUAUCUUUGAUGGACCAGGCUUGUCCUUUGGCUCCACAGCACUCCUUUUGGGGCCAGUGUGUGUGGUAGCAUUUCUUCGUCAACCUGAUCAGGCCGGUCGAAAUUGUCAUUUGAUGGUGGAUUAUUAAUGAAUGGUUUUACAAUGUCGGCACACAUCUCCGGUCCUGUUUAUUCUCGCAGGAUUGACCAUUGCUGUAGUUGCAAACAGCUGAGCAUUUGAGUCCUGCUUUCCUGCAACCACAAGUGCUGGUACAACCUUUUUUGCAGAUACAGUUAGUUAAAAAUUUUGCAAACCUUUGAAAAGCCGUAUUUUAGAAACUAUUUGGCUUACUAAGACUAAAUUAUAGUCAAUUAAUUGCAAAUAUCAUCUUUUUAAAAUUGUUCAUAGUAACUUUUGCCUUAACUCCGGUCCUUAGUGGAUUUUUUUUCAAAAACUGAAAAAUAUCCUAAAAUUUAAUGGAUUUUCAUGUACUUUUCAAUGAUCCCAAAGGCUUUCGAGGUCGAAAACUUGGAUUUGUUAUUACCAUUUCAUCACUACCAACAUAUUAAAAAACAGAACUACCUCAUUUGAUGAUAGGUAAAAUGUACCAAUUCCAUGGGCUGUUAUUUUCUCUCACAUUCCAUCUGAACUAGAAUUCCAGUGUACUGUGAACACAAGCAUGAAGAAUCUGACAAAAUAAACAGAUACAGUCUGUGCAGAAAGAGAGGAGUCGUGGAAUGUCCCAGGCCCAAUACAUUCCACGACUCUUCUGUUUCCGAACAUACUCUAUCAGUCUAAUUUUAAAAGUCACAGUCAGCAAAGAAUCUUCGUAGGCACACAGGACGCCGAUUACUGAUUAAACAAUUUGUUAAGGCUUU